AGCGAACGCUGGCGGCGUACUUAACACAUGCAAGUCGAACGAGGAUCAUCGGGUUAGCAAUAAUUCGGUGGUCCUAGUGGCGCACGGGUGAGUAACACGUGGGUGACCUGCCCUUGAGCUCGGGAUACCCCCUCGAAAGGGGGGCUAAUACCGGAUACGUUCCUCGGUCGAAAGACUGAGGAGGAAAGGUGGCGCAAGCUGCCGCUCUUGGAGGGGCUCGCGGCCUAUCAGCUAGUUGCGGGGUAACGGCCCACCAAGGCUAUGACGGGUAGCUGGUCUGAGAGGACGACCAGCCACACGGGGACUGAGACACGGCCCCGACUCCUACGGGAGGCAGCAGUGGGGAAUUUUCCGCAAUGGGCGAAAGCCUGACGGAGUGACGCCGCGUGU
rnacentral:rRNA from 1 species